UACGAAGGGGGCUAGCGUUGCUCGGAAUCACUGGGCGUAAAGCGCACGUAGGCGGAUCUUUAAGUCAGGGGUGAAAUCCUGGAGCUCAACUCCAGAACUGCCUUUGAUACUGAGGAUCUCGAGUCCGGGAGAGGUGAGUGGAACUGCGAGUGUAGAGGUGAAAUUCGUAGAUAUUCGGAAGAACACCAGUGGCGAAGGCGACUGACUGGACAAGUAUUGACGCUGAGGUACGAAAGCGUGGGGAGCAAACAGG
rnacentral:rRNA from 1 species